UACGAAGGGGGCUAGCGUUGCUCGGAAUCACUGGGCGUAAAGGGUGCGUAGGCGGGUCUUUAAGUCAGGGGUGAAAUCCUGGAGCUCAACUCCAGAACUGCCUUUGAUACUGAAGAUCUUGAGUGCGGGAGAGGUGAGUGGAACUGCGAGUGUAGAGGUGAAAUUCGUAGAUAUUGGGAAGAACACCGGUGGCGAAGGCGGCUCUCUGGACCGUAACUGACGCUGAGGCGCGAAAGCGUGGGGAGCAAACAGG
rnacentral:rRNA from 1 species